rnacentral:rRNA from 1 species
GACGAACGCGGCGGCGUGCCUAAUACAUGCAAGUAGAACGCUGAAGGAAGGAGCUUGCUCUUUCCGGAUGAGUUGCGAACGGGUGAGUAACGCGUAGGUAACCUGCCUGGUAGCGGGGGAUAACUAUUGGAAACGAUAGCUAAUACCGCAUAAUAGCAGUUAUUGCAUGAUAACUGUUUGAAAGGUGCAAAUGCAUCACUACCAGAUGGACCUGCGUUGUAUUAGCUAGUUGGUGGGGUAACGGCUCACCAAGGCGACGAUACAUAGCCGACCUGAGAGGGUGAUCGGCCACACUGGGACUGAGACACGGCCCAGACUCCUACGGGAGGCAGCAGUAGGGAAUCUUCGGCAAUGGACGGAAGUCUGACCGAGCAACGCCGCGUGAGUGAAGAAGGUUUUCGGAUCGUAAAGCUCUGUUGUAAGAGAAGAACGAGUGUGAGAGUGGAAAAGUUCACACUG